UCACUGUUCCUCCCGUUACAACCCAAAUCUUAUUCUCCUAACAGUCUGGCAGGAAGGAAGAGAAAAUCUGAACCCUGUGCCAAGCAUUUGCCUGGAUUAUCUUUUUGCAGGAAGCAUGAAAACUUCAAAACCUAUCUACGAUCCUGAUGCUACUAGGCUUCCUCUAACUCUAGAGACUGGGUUCAAUUCGGCACUAACUGGCUGGAUGAGUUUGGGCACCAAUAUGUGAGGAAACCCAGAUCACAUUAAGAGGCCACAAGUAAGUGUUCCAACCAACAGACCGUGCUAAGAUCUCAGCUGACAGCCAGCCUCAACUGCCAAACAAGUGAGUGAAGACGACUCUCACCCAGCCAUCAUCUGACAGCAACUGCGUAAGAGACUUUGGCAAGAGCUGCCUGGCUGAGCGCAGUCCAUCCCCAACACGUGAGAGACCAUAACGGUAAUUGUUGUCCUGAGCCACUAGGUCUUGGGGUGACAGAUGGCACAGCAAUAGAUAAGGAGAACACUGUUGUGCCCCCUGUGGCCAUGUAAGGACAAUACAUCACCAGAAAUAGAAAAGCCCUCUUAAUGGCUGGUCCUGAA